rnacentral:rRNA from 1 species
CUACGUGCCAGCAGCCGCGGUWAUACGUAGGUGGCAAGCGUUGUCCGGAAUUAUUGGGCGUAAAGCGCGCGCAGGCGGAUCAGUCAGUCUGUCUUAAAAGUUCGGGGCUUAACCCCGUGAUGGGAUGGAAACUGCUGAUCUAGAGUAUCGGAGAGGAAAGUGGAAUUCCUAGUGUAGCGGUGAAAUGCGUAGAUAUUAGGAAGAACACCAGUGGCGAAGGCGACUUUCUGGACGAAAACUGACGCUGAGGCGCGAAAGCCAGGGGAGCGAACGGGAUUAGAUACCCCGGUAGUCCUGGCCGUAAACGAUGGGUACUAGGUGUAGGAGGUAUCGACCCCUUCUGUGCCGGAGUUAACGCAAUAAGUACCCCGCCUGGGGAGUACGACCGCAAGGUUGAAACUCAAAGGAAUUGACGGGGGCCCGCACAAGCGGUGGAGUAUGUGGUUUAAUUCGACGCAACGCGAAGAACCUUACCAGGUCUUGACAU